rnacentral:misc_RNA from 1 species
GUGUGUGUACGUCGGACCGUGUAGUACCAGCUGUGGGAUACCGAUUUGUAUGAGGUAGCACAUUCGUCUGUCUUGACUGUCGGAAACAGCCCGGUUUAACGAUCGGGUUGUCAAAAUUUAUUCGAAUAGAGACUUCGCGUCCUUGGCAUGCCAAAUGACGACUGCAUAUCAGGUGCGCGGUGCUCGGCUAGCAGUAACCGAUUAUCUCUGCAUGGAUCCUUGAUAGGCUAAAAGCACCUUCAAGAUUUAGCCCAUGGACGACGAUCCCGCUAUGUCGACGACGUCUAACGACUUUGACCUAAACGACGCACUGGCCAAGAGCCAUUUCUACACUGGCCUUAUAUUGGCAAUCAGCUCAAGCAUCUUUAUCGGCACCAGCUUCAUUGUAAAGAAGAAAGGUCUCUUACGCAUCAACAGCAAGGGCCAGACGAGAGCAGGAGCUGGGGGCUAUGGUUACCUCAAGGAAUGGGUGUGGUGGGCCGGGCUCAUCCUCAUGGCUGUUGGAGAAGCUGCAAACUUUGCAGCUUAUGCUUUCGCACCAGCAUCGCUUGUCACACCACUGGGUGCCCUCAGUGUCUUAGUCAGUGCCAUCCUGUCUUCCAAGUUCCUCAACGAACGACUGAACCUCAUUGGGAAAGUUGCGUGCCUUCUCUGUGUGCUUGGCUCUACAGUGAUCGUACUGCACAGCCCCAAAGAGGGCAACGUUGAGAGCAUGGAAAUGCUCGGCACCAUGAUUGUCGAACCUGCAUUCAUAGUGUAUGUGAUCUUUGUGGUGACGGCGGCCAGCAUCCUGAUGGUGAUCUAUGCGCCAAAGUACGGCACCUCCAACGUGGUGAUCUACGUGGCCAUCUGCUCGGUCAUCGGCUCCCUCUCAGUCAUGGGUUGCAAAGGCCUGGGCCUGGCGCUACGCGAGACGUUUGCCGGCCACAAUGAAUUCACCUCCUGGGUCACUUGGGUCUGCCUCGUCGGCGUCGUAAUCUGCAUCUCGGUCCAGAUGAACUAUCUCAACAAGGCACUAGAUGUCUUCAAUACCUCCGUUGUCACUCCCAUCUACUAUGUAUUCUUUACAACGUUUGUGCUAAUUGCAUCGGCAAUCUUGUUCAAGGAAUGGGGAAACAUGAGCGGCGAAGAUGUGCUUGGCAGCCUCACAGGCUUCAUGACAGUGGUGUGUGCCAUAUUCCUGCUGAAUGCCUUCAAGGACUGGGACGUGUCCCUCUCCAGCCUCCAGGGUCUGCUCCAAAGCACGCGCGAACAGCAGCAGCAGCGUGGCAUGGGCGACGGCACUCUGCCGGACCUGACCACCGCUCUGCUAGACUCGCCGCCGGGCUCGUCACACCGGUCGUCGGCCCUAGUCUCUAUGUUGCUACUUUGAAGUGGAGGCAGGAGCAUCCUCAGCAUUACCCGACAUUCUGAGACAGGCGACAGCUUUAGUGAUUUCUGGGAAGUCUUGCUCGUCGUCGAGCCAAGGAUUUUGCCGUAUAUUUAAAGAUAUCUUGUCUGUCUUUACCUUCUUUCACAAGCUAGCCCAAGUUGUCCGUAUGAAGAGCCAACACUCCAUACUGUAAAGGCUAUAGCAAUCGAGGUUGAAUGCAAACUGAACAGAGACGUUGUCGACCAUUGGGAAGAAAGCACCGUGUAAGAGCAAGUGCCGACUGACAUCUCAUCUCACCCGAACGGCAAAUUUGUACAUAUUAAAACAUGGCAUCCAUGAUCAAAGAAA